rnacentral:rRNA from 1 species
UACGUAGGGAGCAAGCGUUGUUCGGAAUUACUGGGCGUAAAGGGCUCGUAGGCGGCCAACUAAGUCGGAUGUGAAAUCCCCAGGCUUAACCUGGGAACUGCAUCCGAUACUGGAUGGCUUGAAUUCGGGAGAGGGAUGCAGAAUUCCAGGUGUAGCGGUGAAAUGCGUAGAUAUCUGGAGGAAUACCGGUGGCGAAGGCGGCAUCCUGGACCGAGAUUGACGCUGAUGAGCGAAAGCUAGGGGAGCAAACGGG